UACGUAGGCAGCGAGCGUUUGUUCGGAGUUACUGGGCGUAAAGGGUGUGUAGGCGGUUCUUUUAAGUUUGGUGUGAAAUCUCCCGGCUCAACCGGGAGGGUGCGCCGAAUACUGAGGGACUUAGAGUACGGGAGAGGAAAGUGGAAUUCCUGGUGUAGCGGUGAAAUGCGUAGAUAUCAAGGAGGAACACCGGUGGUGUAGACGGCUUUCUGGACCGUAACUGACGCUGAGGAGCGAAAGCGUGGGGGAGCGAACAGGA
rnacentral:rRNA from 1 species